GGGGGGACUUACCUCCGACCCGGUACAUGUUGGCAGCCAUGCCCGGGCUGGGGGGGGUCUGGGCCGCUCCCGCCGCCGCUGCCUCCAGGCCUGAGCAAGAUAGAGCUCUAGCUGAAAGAGAACUGACUACGUCACAAUCCAGAUGAGAUGGAAGAAAAAGGAAAGCAUUAAGAUGAGAAGGAGCCAACACCAUGUGACCUGCCACCUCAUCAUUUACUCCUAGCAAGUGCCCAGUGAUCACUGUUUUGAGAAUCUUUGGGAGGAUUUUUCUGUGCAGUUACCACAGAGAAAAUGAACGUGUCCACUUCCUGGGGAAGAACUAUUUUGUGGAUAAGUGUUAGACAAAAAAUACCUUCUCUCUGAGAGCCCCUUCCAGAGUGAACUAUAGACCUGAAACCUUUCCACAAGGAAAACUGAGCAUGCACACCAAGGUGUUUGUGUGGAGAAAGCUUUCAGGAAUAUUUAUCUUGGAAACAGUUGUCCUCUGUGAUGACUGGUGCCUUUUACAAUGUUUUGCAGUGUUUGGGGAAUUACUCUUAGAAUAGGUC